CACCGGCAGCUCUAGUGGUAACAAUUUUUAUUGGGCCUAAAGCGUCCGUAGCCGGUUUAAUAAGUCUCUGGUGAAAUCCUGCAGCUUAACUGUGGGAAUUGCUGGAGAUACUAUUAGACUUGAGACCGGGAGAGGUUAGAGGUACUCCCAGGGUAGAGGUGAAAUUCUGUAAUCCUGGGAGGACCGCCUGUUGCGAAGGCGUCUAACUGGAACGGUUCUGACGGUGAGGGACGAAAGUUAGGGGCGCGAACCGGAUUAGAUACCCCUGUAGUCCCUGAGCGGGCUGGCAAGG
rnacentral:rRNA from 1 species